UACGGAGGAGGUAAGCGUUGUUCGGAAUCACUGGGCUUAAAGGGCGUGUAGGCGGAGUGUCAGGUGCUUUGUGAAAGCCCCCGGCUCAACCGGGGAAUGGCUUGGCAAACCGACACUCUUGAGGCAGGUAGAGGCGGCUGGAACCUUUGGUGGAGAGGUGAAAUUCGUAGAUAUCAAAGGGAACGCCGGUGGCGAAAGCGAGUCGCUGGGCCUGUCCUGACGCUGAGACGCGAAAGCGUAGGGAGCGAACGGG
rnacentral:rRNA from 1 species